UAUGGUGACCUCCCGGAGCGGGGCACCACGAGGUUGCCUAAGGAGGGGUGAACUGGCCCAGGUCGGAAACGGAGCAGGUCAAAACUCCCGCAUCAGCUGACUGUAGA